GUCCCUGUAGCGCAACCUGGAUAGCGCGACGGCCUCCUAAGCCGUAGGUUGAGGGUUCGAAUCCCUCCAGGGACG
rnacentral:tRNA from 1 species